GCUGGCGUAGCUCAAUUGGUAGAGCAACUGCCUUGUAAGCAGUAGGUUGCAGGUUCGAGUCCCGUCGCCAGCU
rnacentral:tRNA from 6 species